rnacentral:rRNA from 1 species
GACGAACGCUGGCGGCGUGCUUAACACAUGCAAGUCGAACGGUGAAGGGGUCUGCUUUUGUGGGCCCUGGAUGAGUGGCGAACGGGUGAGUAACACGUGAGUAACCUGCCCCCUUCUUCUGGAUAACCGCAUGAAAGUGUGGCUAAUACGGGAUAUUCUGGGUCUGUCGCAUGAUGGGUCUGGGAAAGAUUGCGCCUUUGGGUGUUUUUGGUGGGGGAUGGGCUCGCGGCCUAUCAGCUUGUUGGUGGGGUGAUGGCCUACCAAGGCGGUGACGGGUAGCCGGCCGGGGAGGGUGGACGGUCACACUGGGACUGAGACACGGCCCAGACUCCUACGGAGGCAGCAGUGGGGAAUAUUGCACAAUGGGCGCAAGCCUGAUGCAGCGACGCCGCGUGAGGGAUGGAGGCCUUCGGGUUGUAAACCUCUUUCGCCAGUGAAGCAGGCCUGCUCCGUGUGGGUGGGUUGACGGUAGCUGGAGAAGAAGCGCCGGCUAACUACGUG